AGAUUAUUAAAAAUAAUACUUUUACCCGAACUGAUUUAAUAAUAAAUUCACUCGACCAAUAAGAAAGCAAUUAUCAGUCAGUAUUGUAAUUUCGUUAAUAAAUUCCCAGGGGCUGGGCUGGUACUGGGGUACUCAACCCCGUAAAUAAUUACCGGAAGCGCCUAAAAUUUCUCAGGGUAAAAAUAUCUUGUAUUUUUUUUUUUAAUUAUACGGUUAAUCCGUAAAGUUAUCACAUCCCUUCUAUAAUUAAAUCCGUGGAGAACAAGGAAAAACAUAAAAAAGAUAAGAACUAAUACUGUGGCGGGAAGUGUGACUACAUAUAUGUGUGAGACCGCGUGGUCGCUAACUCGCUAACGUGAAUUACGGGCGUAAGGCGCAGACGUGGAAUUUUGUUAUCAUUAUACCAGUUCCUUCAUAUAUUUACACACAUAUACAAAUAGAGAUAUAGAUAGAGAUAGAUAAACAUAUGAGUACCAAUUUAGAACGUAUCACAGUAAUCCUUGAUCCUGUACUCUUGGAAUUAUCAAACAUCAUCAGCAUUUCAGUGAGUAAAAUAUUACAUAAAACAGUCCAUAGACUUGAUCGCUUAUUAUUAAUUAUUAUAUAUUGUAUGUUAAAUAUUUUUAUCCUUUAUCUUAAUCCUGUAAAACAUUUCCAUUAAUAUUUAUAUUUACAAUAGCAUUAUCAGCAUUAUUAUACAAUAAUGUACUUCUGGAAAUUUUUUUCCUCCCUGGCGUACACGUGACAAACAACGUACACUCCCCGAUCCUUGUUCGCAAUAUAUUUGCGCGCGUUGCAAUUGCAAAUACGACUAGACUUAACUGCCGCUGAUUCUGGUGCCGUGGUCGCCACCUUGACACGUUUAUCCCGGCAUGCGAGUAGUGGCGCUUCGGUGCUGCUGUGACAAUCAAACUCAAUUAUUGUUUGCCGCUUGGCCUUUGAAGCCGCAAACUAUGUACCUACAAGUCCACAAGACUAAAAAAUAAACAAGAAAAUCUUUAAAAAAAAUCACUUCAAUUACAUUACACAGUUACGCAAGACAAUUUACCAGAAACAAUAUACUCGCAUCAAUUAUUACACUUGAUUCUAUAAAUAGGCAAAAAAAACGGCGACCAGUUGGGAGAAUUUUGAAACUAAUGGCGCGUGCGAAAAUUCAAAAAAGCCCGCCAAUUUCUUCCUGAAAUAAACUCAUUAAUUUGGUGUUAAAUAUCUAUCGUAUAAUUUAGUACUCUAUUUCAAGAGUUAAUAAAAUUGAUAAAAAAUUUAACGUCGUAGAUGAAACCAACUACGUGACGACGGAUAGACGAACAGGCUAGAG